rnacentral:rRNA from 1 species
GACGAACCGAGCGAACGUUGUUCGGAAUCACUGGGCUUAAAGGGCGCGUAGGCGGAUUCUCAAGUCCGGGGUGAAAUCCCACAGCUCAACUGUGGAACUGCCUCGGAUACUGGGGGUCUCGAGGGUGGCAGGGGUAUGCGGAACUAUCGGUGGAGCGGUGAAAUGCGUUGAUAUCGAUAGGAACUCCGGUGGCGAAGGCGGCAUACUGGUCCACUUCUGACGCUGAGGCGCGAAAGCCAGGGGAGCAAAGCGGGG